UAUUGGAUGGGCCCGCGUAAGAUUAGCUAGUUGGUAAGGUAAAGGCUUACCAAGGCGACGAUCUUUAGCUGGUCUGAGAGGAUGGCCAGCCACAUCGGGACUGAGACACGGCCCGGACUCCUACGGGAGGCAGCAGUCGGGAAUAUUGGACAAUGGGCGCAAGCCUGAUCCAGCAAUACCGCGUGUGUGAAGAAGGCCUGCGGGUUGUAAAGCACUUUCAGUUGGGAAGAUAAUGACGUUACCAACAGAAGAAGCACCGGCUAACUCCGUGCCAGCAGCCGCGGUAAUACGGAGGGUGCAAGCGUUAAUCGGAAUUACUGGGCGUAAAGCGUGCGUAGGCGGCCUGUUAAGUCAGAUGUGAAAGCCCCGGGCUCAACCUGGGAACUGCAUCUGAUACUGGCAGGCUAGAAUUUAGGAGAGGGGAGUGGAAUUUCCGGUGUAGCGGUGAAAUGCAUAGAGAUCGGAAGGAACAUCAGUGGCGAAGGCGGCUCCCUGGACUAAAAUUGACGCUGAGGCACGAAAGCGUGGGUAGCAAACAGGAUUAGAUACCCUGGUAGUC
rnacentral:rRNA from 1 species